rnacentral:lncRNA from 1 species
GAUGUCCAUCUUUGUAUCAAGAGUUAUUUGGCUUAUUUCCAUACAUUUAAUUCUCUUUGUUUCCAAUCAUUCCACUAUAGUGAUACCAUGCCUCAGGCCCCCCACUUGUUGGUUUGUAUGUUUACUCUUUGAUUCAAAGACAAUUUGCCUUUAUGGAUUCCCAUGUUACCAUUCUGUUGGUACAAGUUAUAUUGUUCAUCACUUCCAUCAUACCCCUUUAGUUGUUUGUCUUGUCAGUCCUUGUUGCUUAGACAAACAUGUUCU